UGGCAAACAGCUACUCAGCUGCUUAAGCUUGCCCAUAAGUACAGGCCAGAGACAAAGCAAGAGAAGAAGCAAAGGCUACUGGCCCGUGGUGAGAAAAAAGCUGGUGGCAAAGAGGACGUCCCAACUAAAAGACCACCUGUCCUCCAAGCAGAAGUCAAUACAGUCACCACCCUGGUGGAGAACAAGAAGGCUCAGCUGGUGGUGAUUGACCACGAUGUAGACCCCACUGAGCUGGUGGUUUUCCUGCCUGCCCUGUGUCGGAAGAUGGGGGUGCCCUACUGCAUCAUCAAGGGAAAGGCCAGGCUGGGGCACCUGGUCCACAGGAAGACAUGCACCACUGUUGCCUUCACACAGGUUAACUCGGAAGACAAGGGUGCUCUGGCUAAGCUGGUGGAAGCUAUUAGGACCAAUUAUAAUGGCAGAUAUGACGAGAUCCGCCGCCACUGGGGAGGCAACAUUCUGGUUCCUAAGUCUAUGGCUUGCAUUACCACGCUGGAAAAGGCAAAGGCUAAAGAACUUGCCACUAACCCAGGGUUAAAUGUACACUAAAUUUUCUGUACAUAAAUAUAAUUACAAAAU